UUUUUUCUGAUAAACAAAAAGCAUAACUUCCUUAAUCAUGCCAUCAAUGUGUUUCAACCUCUAUAAAUUUACCGAAACGGCGAUUGGACAAUUUUCGAUUUACUUUCGCUCAAUUGGUAAUUUGGCUAGGGCCAAUGCCUUAACACUUCCGUUUGAAGUCAACGCUUUCUUUUUGCCAAUUGUUUUGCCUUUGUUUAUGAUUUAUGGCCUGACCAUUUGUCAAACGAAAUCAUAUUUUUACACCACGUUCUGCUUGACAGCGUUGGCGUUAGCGUCUACGCCGCAGUUAGCGUCAACGUCGCAGCAGGCCAAAGCCCGAUUAAAAGACGCCAAAUGCGACACGAGGCAAAGCAACUGGACAGUGGCACAGUUGCAAGUUUUAAGUUGGCAACAAGUUGUGAACGCGAAAGUAAAGCAACAUGCAAAAAAGAAAACGAUGGAGGAAAAUUCAAAGCAAAACACGAGAAACGCCAAUUAAAAGGAAAAGCGAAAAUAAAUGUGUGUGUGUGUGUGGAAAAUCGAGCAAUGUGCAGCAAGAGAAACGAGCAAAAUAAAUGCGUUCAAUGCACCCAGGUGAGCUUACUGGAAAAAGGCAGUAAUGGGCGUGGCGCUAGCUUAUUGCCUAGUUGAAGAUAGAGGGAAGAAAGAGGCGACAAUGAAAGAGGCUUCAACUGUCGGUUGCCUGCCUUCUGUCUCCGUCUCUCUCACUCUCUCUAUGUCUGCCCACCUCUACUUUUUUGUUUCCCCCCAUCGUGACUCAUGCUGCAAACGGGCAACAAGCAAACGCUUUGCAUACAGAAAACGUUAAAAGUAUAUACCUCAAAACUUGGUAACUACCAACUGCCAACAUGUAAUUUCUGUUGUUGCGGAAGUCGUAGGUGCAACAUACCAAUAAGAAACUAUUUACGGAAAGCUUCAGAGGAUUGUCAACGAUCUACAAUAAAUGCCGGAAGAAAUUACAGGACACCUAAGAACUUUAACAAGACUUUCUAAUAAAUUAAAAGUUGUUACACCCGCUACCUAUAGCGAAGAAGGAUCUACAUCCAACAAUGGCCGGAAGACUUCUCACUCAAUGGAAAGAUAUUUAUCGAAUAAAUGCCGGAAAUCUCAUAAAUGCUGAAACAUUUCAGGAGACAUCAAAUGUGGAAAUAUUUGUUAAGUUUCUCGUUUAGAUCUCCAGCAAUUGCCAUGGAACUAACGUAAAUUAUAAUAAAGAUUUUUGCUAACCAUAUGAAAAUAACUGUACAGAGAAUGCAAAGUGGGAAGUUAUCGAAAGACUUUUGAUACAUAGAGGACUGACUUGCGUGGUAUCGAAGCAAACCUCAGAAGAAUGCAGUGCCUCCAAAUUAACAU